UUAGUGGAAGCGUCUGGAAAGGCGCGCGAUACAGGGUGACAGCCCCGUACACAAAAGCGCAUGUGCUGUGAGCUCGAUGAGUAGGGCGGGACACGUGGUAUCCUGUCUGAAUAUGGGGGGACCAUCCUCCAAGGCUAAAUACUCCUGACUGACCGAUAGUGAACCAGUACCGUGAGGGAAAGGCGAAAAGAACCCCGGCGAGGGGAGUGAAAAAGAACCUGAAACCGUGUACGUACAAGCAGUGGGAGCACCCUUUGGGGUGUGACUGCGUACCUUUUGUAUAAUGGGUCAGCGACUUAUAUUCUGUAGCAAGGUUAACCGUAUAGGGGAGCCGGAGGGAAACCGAGUCUUAACCGGGCGUUAAGUUGCAGGGUAUAGACCCGAAACCCGGUGAUCUAGCCAUGGGCAGGUUGAAGGUUGGGUAACACUAACUGGAGGACCGAACCGACUAAUGUUGAAAAAUUAGCGGAUGACCUGUGGCUGGGGGUGAAAGGCCAAUCAAACCGGGAGAUAGCUGGUUCUCCCCGAAAGCUAUUUAGGUAGCGCCUCGUGAACUCAUCUCCGGGGGUAGAGCACUGUUUCGGCUAGGGGGCCAUCCCGGCUUACCAACCCGAUGCAAACUGCGAAUACCGGAGAAUGUUAUCACGGGAGACACACGGCGGGGGCUAACGUCCGUCGUGAAGAGGGAAACAACCCAGACCGCCAGCUAAGGUCCCAAAGUCAUGGUUAAGUGGGAAACGAUGUGGGAAGGCCCAGACAGCCAGGAUGUUGGCUUAGAAGCAGCCAUCAUUUAAAGAAAGCGUAAUAGCUCACUGGUCGAGUCGGCCUGCGCGGAAGAUGUAACGGGGCUAAACCAUGCACCGAAGCUGCGGCAGCGA
rnacentral:rRNA from 1 species